rnacentral:rRNA from 1 species
GGGCCCGCACAAGCGGUGGAGCAUGUGGUUUAAUUCGAUGAUACGCGAGGAACCUUACCAGGGCUUAAAUGUAACGGGACAGAUCUAGAGAUAGAUCCUUCUUCGGACUCAUUACAAGGUGCUGCAUGGUUGUCGUCAGCUCGUGCCGUGAGGUGUCAGGUUAAGUCCUAUAACGAGCGCAACCCCCAUCGUUAGUUGCCAGCGGGUAAUGCCGGGAACUCUAGCGAAACUGCCGGUGCAAACCGUGAGGAAGGUGGGGAUGACGUCAAAUCAUCACGGCCCUUACGUCCUGGGCUACACACGUGCUACAAUGGUCGGUACAGAGAGCAGCCACUACGCGAGUAGGAGCGAAUCUUCAAAACCGAUCUCAGUUCGGAUCGCAGUCUGCAACUCGACUGCGUGAAGCUGGAAUCGCUAGUAAUCGG